rnacentral:pre_miRNA from 1 species
AUUAGAAUGUGGAAUCUGUUUUUGUACAUCAAGUGUUACGAAACGAAGCAAAAAAGUUUUCAUAUUCUUGCGG